rnacentral:rRNA from 1 species
CGGCAGCACGGGGGCAACCCUGGUGGCGAGUGGCGAACGGGUGAGGAAUGCACCGGAACGUAUCUUCAAGUGGGGGAUAACGCAUCGAAAGGUGUGCUAAUACCGCAUAAUCUCUGAGGAGAAAAGCAGGGGAUCGCAAGACCUUGCGCUUUUGGAGCGGCCGAUGCCUGAUUAGCUUGUUGGUGAGGUAAAAGCUCACCAAGGCUCCGAUCAGUAGCUGGUCUGAGAGGACGACCAGCCACACUGGGACUGAGACACGGCCCAGACUCCUACGGGAGGCAGCAGUGGGGAAUUUUGGACAAUGGGGGCAACCCUGAUCCAGCCAUGCCGCGUGAGUGAAGAAGGCCUUCGGGUUGUAAAGCUCUUUCAGCCGGAACGAAACGGUCACGGUUAAUACCCGUGACUACUGACGGUACCGGAAGAAGAAGCACCGGCUAACUACGUGCCAGCAGCCGCGGUAAUACGUAGGGUGCGAGCGUUAAUCGGAAUUACUGGGCGUAAAGCGUGCGCAGGUGGUUUUGUAAGUCAGAUGUGAAAUCCCCGGGCUUAACCUGGGAACUGCGUUUGAAACUGCAAGGCUAGAGUGUGGCAGAGGGGGGUGGAAUUCCGCGUGUAGCAGUGAAAUGCGUAGAGAUGUGGAGGAACACCGAUGGCGAAGGCAGCCCCCUGGGUCAACACUGACGCUCAGGCACGAAAGCAUGGGGAGCAAACAGGAUUAGAUACCCUGGUAGUCCAUGCCCUAAACGAUGUCAACUAGUUGUCGGGUCUUAACGGGCUUGGUAACGUAGCUAACGCGUGAAGUUGACCGCCUGGGGAGUACGAUCGCAAGAUUAAAACUCAAAGGAAUUGACGGGGACCCGCACAAGCGGU